GCGGACGUCAUCUAACAACACUGACUUAGUGUUAUCCCAGGCAAGCCCCGGUGCAUUUGCCACCUCCUUGUUGUUUUAAAACUUUUAUCACUUAUAUGCUGCAUUAGGUGAUAGGAGUUGAGUGAUGAAACAGUUGAUGCAUUGCCAUUCCUUGGAAUUUGAUUAUCCUCCUUGAUACCUGUUUUACAAAAAGAACUAAUGAGGCAUAGCCUUGCCUAGAGAAUUAAAACAUGUUUCUUUUUAAAAGAAUGAUGUGUGACACUGGGUAUGGGUUUGUUUUAUGAAAAAGGACUUGUAAUGGUGAGCGCAUCAUUGAAAGGGAAAUGUGCCCUUGGGCCAUUUCUAAGUAUUUUGGUGAUUUAGUGUCCAACACAAGUGCCUAAGUGGAAAAAGGUGGACAAAGUACAAAUCAAGGAUAAAGGUAUGUUUCUCAGACUUAGUACAUUGUUUUAUGGACUAAUGUAUUGUGUCUAAGUGCUGGAAAUAGGAAAAAUCCAAUUGAAAAUGUCUUGGCUCGAGCAGCCAAGACUCUGCUCAGUCUGGGUGCACCGGACAGUGUCUGGUGCGCCAGGCUAGCUCGAGCGAACUGGCCGCUCUCGGGAAUUCACCGGCGACGUACGACUAUAAUUCACCGGACUGUCCGGUGUGCACCGGACUGUCCGGUGAGCCAACGGUCGGCCGGGGCAACGGUCGGCCGCGCGAUCUGCGCGGGACACGUGGCCGAGCCAACGGCUAGAAGGAGGCACCGGACUGUCCGGUGUGCACCGGACAUGUCCGGUGCGCCAACGGCUCUCAGGCUGCCAACGGUCGACUGCGCCAUUUUUGGAAGGAAAUCGGGCACCGGACUGUCCGGUGCGCCAGUCGACAGAAGGCAAGAUCAGCCUUCCUAGAAUGCUCUCAACGGCUCCUAGCUGCCUUGGGGCUAUAAAAGGGACCCCUAGGCGCAUGGAGGAGUAUCUCAAGCAUCCCCUAAGCACUCCUAAGCACUAAGACAUCGAUUUCGCGCCUUUGAUUCUUUGCGAUAGCAAUUAGAGCUCUAGUUGAGUGGUGAACUCAUUGAGUUGUGUUGUGAGCUCUCGUUGCAACUUGUGUGCGUGGUGUUGCUGUGAUUUCUUGUCUUGAGUGCGUUGCUAAUCCCUCCCUUGUUCUGUGCUUCUUUGUGAACUUCAAGUGUAAGGGCGAGAGGCUCCAAGUUGUGGAGAUUCCUCGCAAACGGGAUUGAGAAAAGCAAGCAAAACACCAUGGUAUUCAAGUGAGUCUUUGGACCGCUUGAGAGGGGUUGAUUGCAACCCUCGUCCGUUGGGACGCCACAACGUGGAGUAGGCAAGCAUUGGUCUUGGCCGAACCACGGGAUAACCACCGUGCCAUCUCUGUGAUUGAUUUCUUGUGGUUAUUGUGUUUUGUUGAGACUCCUCUCUAGCCACUUGGCAUUUACUGUGCUAACGCUUAACCAAGUUUGUGUGGCUUAAGUUUUCAAGUUUUACAGGAUCACCUAUUCACCCCCCCUCUAGGUGCUCUCAAUUGGUAUCGGAGCCGUUCUCUUCACAAAGGGACUAACCGCCCGAAGAGAUGGAUCCUAAGGGGAAGGGUAUCGUGAUCAACGAUAAAGAGAAGGAAUCUUUCGUCAACGAGCCGAAGGAUGACAAGCCUACCGACUCGGGCUCGGGCCAUAGAUGGAAAGAUGGGAAGAAGAAGAAGACAAGGCGCAUCAAGGAGAUUGUCUACUACGACGACAGCGACGAGUCAUCUUCUUCCCAAAAGGACGACGACCACAACGACUACGAGAGAAGGAAACCGGUUAAUUCGAACUUUUCUUUUGACUACUCUCGUAUUCCGCAAAGUUCAAAUUCACAUUUGCUCUCCAUUCCUCUCGGCAAGCCUCCACACUUUGAUGGGGAGGACUACAGAUUUUGGAGCCACAAAAUGUGUAGUCACCUAUUCUCUCUCCAUCCUAGUAUAUGGGAGAUUGUAGAGAGUGGAAUGCACUUUGAUAGUACGGAUAGUCCCAUGUUCAUUAAUGAGCAAAUUCAUAAGAAUGCACAAGCUACUACUGUUCUUCUAGCUUCAUUGUGCAGGGAUGAAUACCACAAAGUGAGCGGCUUGGAUAACGCCAAGCAGAUCUGGGACACCCUCAAGAUUUCUCAUGAGGGGAACGACGUCACCUUGCUCACCAAAAUGGAGUUGGUGGAGGGCGAGCUUGGACGAUUUGCGAUGAUAAGGGGCGAGGAGCCGACACAAACAUACAACCGGCUCAAGACUCUUAUCAACAAAAUAAGGAGCUACGGAAGCACGCGAUGGACGGACCACGACGUCGUUCGACUGAUGCUAAGGUCCUUUACCGUUCUUGAUCCUCAUUUGGUGAAUAAUAUUCGUGAGAAUUCCAGGUACACCAAAAUGUCGCCCGAAGAAGUCCUUGGAAAAUUUGUAAGCGGGCGAAUGAUGAUCAAGGAGGCGAGGUACGUGGACGACGCUCUAAACGGUCCAAUCAAUGAGCCUCAACCCGUUGCUCUCAAGGCAACAAGGAGCAAGGAGGCGUUACCCAGCAAGGUAGCACAAAUUGAGGCGGCCGGACUUAAUGAUGAAGAGAUGGCCCUCAUCAUCAAAAGAUUCAAGACGGCGCUAAAGGGUCGCAAGGGGCAGCCAAGCAAGACCAAGACAAAGGGGAAGCGCUCAUGCUUCAAAUGUGGUAAGCUUGGUCAUUUUAUUGCUAACUGUCCCGACAAUGAUAGUGAUCAGGAUCAAGGGAACAAGAGGAAGAAGAAGAAGAACUAUAAGAAGGCAAAGGGCGAGGCACAUCUUGGCAAGGAGUGGGACUCCGACAAUGAAGGACUCGCUGCCACCGCCUUCAACAAGUCAUCCCUCUUCCCCAAUGAGCGUCACACAUGCCUUAUGGCAAGGGAGAAGAAGGUAUGUACUCGAAACUCUACUUAUGCUUCUUCAAGUGAGGACGAAUCUAGUGAUGAGGAUGAAAUAGAUUAUUCAUGUUUAUUUAAGGGCCUAGAUAGAACCAAGGUAGAUAAAAUUAAUGAAUUGAUUGAUGCCUUGAAUGAUAAGAAUAGGCUUUUAGAAAAACAAGAGGACGUGUUGUAUGAAGAACAUGACAAAUUUGUAGAAGCACAAAAAUCUCAUGCCUUAGAAGUUAAGAGAAAUGAAAUGCUUUCUUGUGAAUUAUCUUCUUGUCAUGAGACGAUUUCUAGCUUAAGGAGCAUUAAUGAUGAUUUGAAUGCUAAGUUAGAAAUAGCUAGUAAAUCAACAACUUGUGUAGAAAAUGUUGUUAUUUGCAAUAGAUGUAAAGAUUUUGAUAUUGAUGCUUGUAGUGAACACAUAGCUUCUAUUGCAAAGUUAAAUGAUGAAAUGGCUAGUCUUAAUGCCCAACUUAAGGCUAGCAAAAGUGAUUUUGAUAAACUAAAAUUUGCCAGGGAUGCCUACACGAUUGGUAGACACCCCUCCAUUAAGGAUGGGCUUGGCUUCAAGAGGGAAGCCAAGAACUUAACAAGCCAUAAGGCUCCCAUCUCCGCCAAGGAGAAAGGGAAGGCCCCUAUGGCAAGUAGUACUAAAAAGAACCAUGCUUUUAUGUACAAUGAUAGAAGACAGUCUCAUAGGAGUUGUAAUGCUUUUGAUUCACAUGCCUAUGAUUCUUAUGCUAUGUUUGCUUCCAGUUCUUCCUAUAUGCAUGGUAGAGAUAUGCCUAGGAAAAAUAUUCAUCAUGUGCCUAGAAAGAAUAUUGUUCAUGUUCCUAGGAAAGUUAUGAAUGGACCCUCUACAAUUUAUCAUGCUUUAAAUGCUUCCUUUGCUAUUUGUAGAAAGGAUAGGAAGAUAGUUGCUAGGAAAUUAGGGGCAAAAUGCAAGGGUGAUAAAACUUGCAUUUGGGUCCCUAAGACAAUUGUGACUAACCUUGUAGGACCCAACAAGAGUUGGGUACCUAAGACCCAAGCCUAAAUUUGCCUUGCAGGUUUAUGCAUCCGGGGGUUCAAGCUGGAUUAUCGACAGCGGAUGCACGAACCAUAUGACGGGGGAAAAGAAGAUGUUCACCUCCUACGUCAAGAAUAAGGAUUCCCCAGAUUCAAUCAUAUUCGGUGAUGGGAACCAAGGCAAGGUGAAAGGUUUAGGCAAGAUUGCAAUAUCAAAUGAGCACUCUAUCUCUAAUGUGUUUUUAGUUGAGUCUCUUGGAUAUAAUUUACUAUCUGUCAGUCAAUUAUGUAAUAUGGGAUAUAAUUGUCUAUUUACAAAUGUAGAUGUGUCUGUCUUUAGAAGAUGUGAUGGUUCACUAGCUUUUAAGGGUGUACUAGACGACAAACUUUAUUUAGUUGAUUUUGCAAAAGAGGAGGCCGAUCUAGAUACAUGCUUAAUUGCUAAGACUAGCAUGGGCUGGCUGUGGCAUCGCCGCUUAGCACAUGUGGGGAUGAAGAACCUUCACAAGCUUCUAAAGGGAGAACACGUGAUAGGUUUGACUAACGUGCAAUUCGAAAAAGAUAGACCUUGUGCAGCUUGUCAAGCAGGUAAACAAGUGGGAGGAGCACAUCACAGCAAGAAUGUGAUGACCACUUCAAGACCUCUGGAGCUGCUGCAUAUGGACCUCUUCGGACCCGUCGCCUAUCUGAGCAUCGGAGGAAGUAAGUAUGGUCUAGUUAUUGUUGAUGACUUUUCCCGCUUCACUUGGGUGUUCUUUUUGCAGGAUAAGUCUGAAACCCAAGGGACCCUCAAGCGCUUCCUAAGGAGAGCUCAAAAUGAGUUUGAGCUCAAGGUGAAGAAGAUAAGAAGCGACAAUGGGUCCGAGUUCAAGAACCUUCAAGUGGAGGAGUUCCUUGAGGAGGAGGGGAUCAAGCACGAGUUCUCCGCUCCCUACACACCUCAGCAAAAUGGUGUGGUAGAGAGGAAGAACAGGACGCUCAUUGAUAUGGCAAGGACUAUGCUUGGAGAGUUCAAGACCCCCGAGCGUUUUUGGUCGAAAGCCGUGAACACGGCUUGCCACGCCAUCAACAGGGUCUAUCUUCAGCGCCUCCUCAAGAAGACUUCAUAUGAGCUGCUAACUGGUAACAAACCCAAUGUAUCUUAUUUUCGUGUAUUUGGGAGCAAGUGUUAUAUUCUUGUGAAGAAAGGUAGAACCUCUAAAUUUGCUCCCAAAGUUGUAGAAGGGUUUUUAUUAGGUUAUGAUUCAAAUACAAAGGCGUAUAGGGUCUUCAACAAAUCAUCGGGUUUGGUUGAAGUCUCUAGCGACGUUGUAUUUGAUGAGACUAAUGGCUCUCCAAGAGAGCAAGUUGUUGAUCUUGAUGAUGUAGAUGAAGAAGACGGUCCAACGGCCGCGAUACGCACCAUGGCGAUUGGAGAUGUACGGCCUCAGGAACAAUUGGAGCAAGAUCAACCGUCUUCCUCAACUAUGGUGCAUCCCCCAACCCAAGAUGACGAACAUGUACCUCAAGUGGAGGCGCAUGAUCAAGGGGGAGCACAGGAUGUUCAAAUUGAAGAAGAAGAAGCACCUCAGGCACCUCCAACCCAAGUUCGAGCGACGAUCCAAAGGGAUCAUCCCAUCGACCAAAUUUUGGGUGAUAUUAGCAAGGGAGUAACUACUCGUUCAAGAUUAGUUAAUUUUUGUGAGCAUUACUCCUUUGUCUCUUCUAUUGAGCCUUUCAGGGUAGAAGAGGCCUUGCUAGAUCCGGACUGGGUGUUGGCCAUGCAGGAGGAACUCAACAAUUUCAAGCGCAAUGAAGUUUGGACACUGGUGCCUCACCCCAAGCAAAAUGUUGUGGGAACCAAGUGGGUGUUCCGCAACAAACAGGACGAGCACGGGGUGGUGACGAGGAACAAGGCUCGACUUGUGGCAAAAGGUUAUGCCCAAGUCGCAGGUUUGGACUUUGAGGAGACUUUUGCUCCUGUGGCUAGGCUAGAAUCAAUCCGUAUCUUGCUAGCAUAUGCCGCUCACCAUUCUUUCAGGUUGUACCAAAUGGAUGUGAAGAGCGCUUUCCUCAACGGGCCGAUCAAGGAGGAGGUGUACGUGGAGCAACCCCCUGGCUUCGAGGAUGAACGGUACCCCGACCACGUGUGUAAGCUCUCUAAGGCGCUCUAUGGACUUAAGCAAGCCCCAAGAGCAUGGUAUGAAUGCCUUAGAGACUUUUUAAUUGCUAAUGCUUUCAAGGUCGGGAAAGCCGAUCCAACUCUUUUUACUAAGACUUGCGAUGGUGAUCUUUUUGUGUGCCAAAUUUAUGUCGAUGACAUAAUAUUUGGUUCUACUAAUCAAAAGUCUUGUGAAGAGUUUAGCAGGGUGAUGACGCAGAAAUUCGAGAUGUCGAUGAUGGGCGAGUUGAACUACUUCCUUGGGUUCCAAGUGAAGCAACUCAAGGACGGCACUUUCAUCUCCCAAACGAAGUACACGCAAGAUUUUCUAAAGCGGUUUGGGAUGAAGGACGCCAAGCCCGCCAAGACGCCGAUGGGAACCGACGGACACACCGACCUCAACAAAGGAGGUAAGUCCGUUGAUCAAAAAGCAUACCGGUCCAUGAUAGGUUCUUUGCUUUAUUUAUGUGCUAGUAGACUGGAUAUUAUGCUUAGUGUAUGCAUGUGUGCUAGAUUUCAAUCCGAUCCUAAGGAGUGUCACUUAGUGGCUGUGAAGCGAAUUCUUCGAUAUUUAGUCGCUACGCCUUGCUUCGGGAUCUGGUAUCCAAAGGGGUCUAACUUUGACUUGAUUGGGUACUCAGAUUCCGACUAUGCUGGAUGUAAAGUCGAUAGGAAGAGUACAUUGGGGACGUGCCAAUUCUUAGGAAGGUCCCUGGUGUCGUGGAACUCUAAGAAACAAACUUCCGUUGCCUUAUCCACCGCUGAGGCCGAGUACGUUGCCGCAGGACAGUGUUGUGCGCAACUACUUUGGAUGAGGCAAACCCUCCGAGACUUUGGCUACAAUCUGAGCAAAGUCCCACUCCUAUGUGACAAUGAGAGUGCUAUCCGAAUAGCGGAAAAUCCUGUUGAGCACAGCCGCACAAAGCACAUUGACAUCUGGCAUCACUUUUUGAGAGACCACCAGCAAAAGGGAGAUAUCGAAGUGUUUCAUGUUAGCACCGAGAACCAGCUAGCCGAUAUCUUCACUAAGCCUUUAGAUGAAAAGACCUUUUGCAGGCUGCGUAGUGAGCUAAAUGUCCUAGAUUCGCGGAACUUGGAUUGAUUUAUAGCAUACAUGUAUUUAUGCCUUUGAUCAUGUUCCUUAUGCAUUUUGUUGGUUACUUGUGGUGCUCAAGUUGUACAAACACUCCCUGGACCUCACAAGUCCUUUUUGCAAGUGAUGCACAUAUUUAGGGGGAGCUGUGCUACAACUUGACCCUUUGAGACUAACUGUUUGCUUGAGUUUGCUUGAUUUAGUCUCAAAGGAGGUUUGAAAGGGAAAGGUGGACUUGGACCAUGAAAAACUUCCACUGCACUCCGAUGAGAGGGUAACUAAUUCCAAGUUUAUCUCACGUACUCUUAUUGCCUUUGUGUUCUCAUUUGAAGAUUUUGGUGAGGCAAUGGGGUUAAAGGGCCAAGAUUGAUCCCGUUUUGGUGCUUGAUGCCAAAGGGGGAGAAAAUAAAGGUCAAAUCAAUAGAUGGAUCAGCUACCACUUGAGAAAUUUAGAAAAUAGUAGAUUAGAGCUUUUGGUUUGUCAAAAGUUGGCUUCUUGUGGGAGAAGUGUUGAUUAUGGGAAAAAGGGGAGUUUUUGAAAUCUUGAAUCAAUUUCUCUUGGAAUGACUCUCUUUAUGUCUUAACAUGUGUGUUUGACUUAGAGAUAGAAAUUUGAGUUUGAUUUGCAAAAACAAACCAAGUGGUGGCAAAGAGUGAUCCAUAUAUGUCAAAUUUGAAUCAAAACAAUUUUGAGUUCUUAUUUGAAUUGAUUUUGUACUUGUUCUACUUGCUUUAUGUUGUGUUGGCAUAAAUCACCAAAAAGGGGGAGAUUGAAAGGGAAAUGUGCCCUUGGGCCAUUUCUAAGUAUUUUGGUGAUUUAGUGUCCAACACAAGUGCCUAAGUGGAAAAAGGUGGACAAAGUACAAAUCAAGGAUAAAGGUAUGUUUCUCAGACUUAGUACAUUAUUUUAUGGACUAAUGUAUUGUGUCUAAGUACUGGAAACAGGAAAAAUCCAAUUGAAAAUGUCUUGGCUCGAGCAGCCAAGACUCUGCUCAGUCUGGGAUCACCGGACUGUCCGGUGGUGCACCGGACAGUGUCCGAUGCGCCAGGCUGGCUCGAGCGAACUGGCCGCUCUCGGGAAUUCACCGGCGACGUACGGCUAUAAUUCACCGGACUGUCCGGUGUGCACCGGACUGUCCGAUGAGCCAACGGUCGGCCGGGGCAACGGUCGGCCGCGCGAUUUGCGCGGGACACGUGGCCGAGCCAACGGCUAGAAGGAGGCACCGGACUGUCCGGUGUGCACCGGACAUGUCCGGUGCGCCAAUGGCUCUCAGGCUACCAACGGUCGACUGCGCCAUUUUUGGAAGGAAAUCGGGCACCAGACAGUGUCCGGUGUGCACCGGACUGUCCGGUGCGCCAGUCGACAGAAGGCAAGAUCAGCCUUCCUAGAAUGCUCUCAACGGCUCCUAGCUGCCUUGGGGCUAUAAAAGGGACCCCUAGGCGCAUGGAGGAGUAUCUCAAGCAUCCCCUAAGCACUCCUAAGCACUAAGACAUCGAUUUCGCGCCUUUGAUUCUUUGCGAUAGCAAUUAGAGCUCUAGUUGAGUGGUGAACUCAUUGAGUUGUGUUGUGAGCUCUCGUUGCAACUUGUGUGCGUGGUGUUGCUGUGAUUUCUUGUCUUGAGUGCGUUGCUAAUCCCUCGCUUGCUCUGUGCUUCUUUGUGAACUUCAAGUGUAAGGGCGAGAGGCUCCAAGUUGUGGAGAUUCCUUGCAAACGGGAUUGAGAAAAGCAAGCAAAACACCGUGGUAUUCAAGUGGGUCUUUGGACCGCUUGAGAGGGUUUGAUUGCAACCCUCGUCCGUUGGGACGCCACAACGUGGAGUAGGCAAGCAUUGGUCUUGGCCGAACCACGGGAUAACCACUGUGCCAUCUCUGUGAUUGAUUUCUUGUGGUUAUUGUGUUUUGUUGAGACUCCUCUCUAGCCACUUGGCAUUUACUGUGCUAACGCUUAACCAAGUUUGUGUGGCUUAAGUUUUCAAGUUUUACAGGAUCACCUAUUCACCCCCCCUCUAGGUGCUCUCAAUCAUCUGCAGUGAUGAAUUCAUCAUUCAAGUAUGGUACCUCUGUCAGGUACAUGGUUUGGGUGUUAAAUAAUAAGAUGAGACCAGACGUUGAGCAGGAAAGGUCGCCCGUCUGUGUCGCUUAAGGACCGUUCCGAUUGUUGGCCUACUGAUCUAGGACCCUUUAACUGGCCACAUGCCUCAUCAUGGGUAAGCUUAGCCUCGGUCGGACCAAUACCAGAACAGCUCGCACGCACUGGGAGUGGAGAGAUGGCGAGAGUAGCUUGUACCCUCUGUGGCAAGAGACUGGAAGGUGGGGUGCUGUACUCUCGGAAACAUGGCGGGCACCAUGGCGAGAGUAACGUGUACCAACCAGGCCAAUGGCUGGACGGUGGGGUGCUGUACUCUCUGAAACAUGGCGGGCACCAUGGCGAGAGUAACGUGUACCAACCAGGCCAACAGCUGGAUGGUGGAGUGCUGUGCUCUCGGGUCGCGUGAACCCGUUCUGGUCUUGAGAAACCCGGUGGCGAGUUGACAUAUGCAAGGGUUAAGUGCUACAUAUGUCGUGUGGUUGGAGAUCCCCAGCUGGGUAUUAAUCGAUUCGGAUCGCCGAACUUCUCGGAUAUGAAGACUGGAUCUUCGACCUUCAGCGUAGAUAACAAGUGAAACUAAAGCUGAUAAAAUGAAGCUAGUGUAGGACAAGUGAAUGCUCUAGAUUAGGCAAAUCUAGAUUCAGAAAAAGUACUUAAUCUGUGAAGUAAAAGUUUGGCAUAAGGAUCCACUACUAGUAAGCUUUUCUGCAAAAACGAGUCUUUGAAAUUUGAUGAGCUUUACCUUGAUUCCCAACAAACCAGCAUACCCUUGAGAGUCUUUUCUUUAGUCGGGUAAGUUUUGCUGAGUAAUUGCGUACUCAGGGCUUUAUUCCCUGUUGUUUUUCAGGUUAUAAGUUUGUUCUGUUGUGGAUGGUGCUAAGUGCCGGUGGGCUCGGCCUUCUUAUAUAAGUAUAUCCCAUCUUUAGCUUCUUUAUUGAGGAUUGUCACUUAAGCUAGCAUGUAUCUUCAUAUUUACAAAUAUUUUAUAACAUUUCAAAUUUGUAAUUCUUUUGAAUAAUUUUCUCUUGUAAUCACUCUGAUAAUUGAAUAAUGUAAAAUUAUUGUAACAUGUAAUCAUUUUGUAAUAAAGAAUUUAUUUCCGCUGCAAGUGUUUGUAUGUGAGUUGUGUUUACUUAAUCCUGCGAUCUUGGCGGUAAGUCGUUUAUCCGGGGUCCUCGGGGCACUCGGACAGAUCCUGCUAAGUUGUUUGGUGCACAUGCAUAGCCGUCUUAGGUCGUUGAAACAAGGACAGGUGCAUGUGGGCCCGAUAACUUGGGAGGUUCUGCGACAGCUGGUAUCGGAGCUUGAUUAAGUAUGAUACGGUCACAUACGUAUUUUCAAAACAAAAUUUUGGUUUUGGAAAACCUAUUUUCAACUAAACACAUUGUUUAGUUUUGAAAAACAGAUUUGAAAAACUAUAAUGCUAGCGACAUCCUCUAUAAGCCCUAAGUUAAGGACUACUAGGUGGCUUAGUUCAGAAUACUAACCCACAACCUGGGAAGGGUAAUGCAUACAUGUGUAAUGUUAUUUUUGAGGUCAUUCAGUUUUGAAUGGAUCGACGCUCAAGGUAAGGUGAGAUGUGAGAGCAUGACCGAACAAUCGUCGGUCUAGGGAAGAGCAUAAAAAGCGCUUGAUUAUAUACAUGUUACACAUAUGUAUAUAUGAAGACUGCGAAGUGGAGUAAUUACUUUUUGGGAUUCAGUACCCCAUGGAUGUGUAUGGGCAUACAUACAUGGGAAUACUGAAAAGUGUAAUGUACCACAAUGGGUUGCCCUGUGGUUAAAGUGUGGCAGCGGCGCCUAUGCGUGGCUCGGCGCUUAAUGAGGAGCUGGCCUCCAUAUAGAAAUAUAUGGAGUAUAAACUGUGAUAAACUGUCAUGUGUGAAUUGCAUCAUUGGGAAUUGGGUUGUGAUGAAAUUUUCUGCAGGUACACUAACUUCGAACUCGUAUGUGUAGAUGACGACUAGCAAUAUACCGAGAGAGACGUAGUUAUGCCACCGAUAUAGAACGUUAUUGCCACAUUAUGUGGGCAAAAUCAGUGAGGACGAAUAGGACGAGCAUGCAUCCUGAUUGUUGCAUUGUGUUUGUUGUUUGCGCACAAAAAUGCUUCCCUCACCUUUAUUCUAAUAAUUGGUGAUUGUGAACGAACAUGCUUUUCUCAUCUUUAUUCUGGUAAUAAAUAAUUGAAAACUGUGUGAAGUAUUACUGUUCUAUAAGAAAUUUCUAGUUUUGUUUGAUGUGUCCUUUAGACAUGUGUUUAUGUGGUCUGUGGUUCUUCUUAGUUUGACCGAUGGUGCAACUUAUGUUUAUUUUUGUGCCUGUGUGCCGGUAGAAUGUUGAUAGCUUGUUUGCGUAAACCCAAAGCUAAGUUAUGUCCUUGUUUAGUGAACCUUGAUCUAAACGUGUAUUAAUUUCUUAACAACCUAUCCUAGGUGUCAUCUUGUGUGAAGAUCAUUUUCUUCACAAGAUCAUUGGAGUUCUAGCAAUUAGACCAAGUCAUGUCCUCAUCAUCUCAACAUGUGAAAUUGUAUGAGAUCUAAUUCAUAAUUUUGUCAUUUCUUCAAAGUCUCUCUAAAUCUUCAAAACAUACAUGAGUUUGAAUUAUCGAUUCCUACUCCAUGGCCAAACUCAUGCAAAUACAAAUAGAUGUUUAGGUAAUUCCCUUAUUGGACCUAAGAUGCACUCAAACUUAAAAACAAGGAUCUCGAGUCUGUAAUCUUGACAAUCCACUUGUAGCUCUCUUAUGGUCAUAUGUUCAUCCUAAACCAUACCCUUGUUUGGUUGGUGCAAGCUGAUGGUUCUAUUCUGCUUUGCCUCUCCAUGAGAAUCACAUUGUUGAUUUCUCAAUCUAACCUAGGAAAGGAAUGCCCACUAGUUUUCUUGAAUUUAAUGCCUUUGGUUUUCUCAUAUCUUUCGAAGGCAUACCAACUUAAUCUUAUGAUUGUUUUCCCUCCGUAUCUAAUCAAAUACUAAUCCUUAACCUUGUAAUCUUUGCGAUGGGCAUAGAAAUAUGCUUGGGGCUGAAAUAACAGUCUCCCAUCGUACUCCUUUCAUCAAAUUUAGGUUAUGGCCAUGUCUUAUUCGUAUCAUUGGUCAUGAUCUAUUUGACUCUCUACUCGUAAUUAUUCUGACAGGUAGAGUCUCUUUGUAUAUUGUCACCCUUGCUCAAUCCAUUUGUCUCGCGCGAGAUGUCUUAUUGGUUACGUCUGGUAAUGGUGUUAUGACUAAAACCGAUGGUGCCGCGACGAAACCGAGGGCCUCCUGUGAAUGUACACACAUGGUUGUGCUGCUCGGCACGCGCUGGUAUCACGGUGAGUAGUUGUAAUCCAUUAUGAGGCUAUAUCAAUGUGUUAUCUUGGCACAAUCUAGUUUUGUCAUGCGAAAUUCAUUAUUGGUGCUGUUCGGUAAUGGUGUCACAAUUAAUGAUUUGUGGUGCCGCCGCGAAAUUGAGAGCCCCUUGUGAAAGUACACGCAAGGUUAUGCUGCUUGGCGCAUGCUGGUAUCGAGGUCUUUGGUCAUGAUCCAUUGUGGAACUACACUGAUGUGUGAUCUUCCGUGGACUCCUCCCUUGAAACGAUUUUUGUGUUGUUUUCUACAACAAUCAAGCAACAUAUGCCAUCACUGUUGGAUCAAAAGAGUAUAUAACUCUGAUGUAUUCCUUGGUAAAUUUUCUACCCAUUCAGAAAUCUCCAACAAAAAUCAAAACCUAUCUGUGUUUGGAUCAUGUGAUAAAAAUCCAUCUUCCCAUGUGUGGUCGCAUGUCUUUUUACUCAAGUGGUGACUACACACAUACAAGUUCCCUUUGCAUCCUUUAUUGUAAAGGUGAAGCCUUGAAGCUUUUUAGUGUUGGAAGACAGCUAUUAGUUCUCAAGAUGGAGAAUUGUUUUCUCUCCUACUGAGAUGCAGGAGUUUAUUCAUUUUCUCUCUUAUCCAAUACAUGUGUUCCCUAACCAAGUCAUUCCAUCUCAGAUGAAGAAAUGGAUGAACAACCUGACUGAAUGGAUCUUUAUCUAAAUACAUGGCCUCCUGCUAGCAAACGUGAACUCUCGACCAUUAGAUUGCCGAUGGGUAAUAAGAGGACUUGCUCAAUGUCAAAAGUAGUUCAACAAGUUGGUUUUACUAACUUGUAACUGCCCAAUGAACAAAGGUUGAGUUUAGAAAUCGUUUUAUCGAGUUGUCUAAACUCACUUUAGUUCAGCCUAUCUUGAAGAGACCCUUGUGAAGAUCAAGUGAAGGUUAUGAACAUAUGCGCAGAUCUUAUGCCAUAUUGGAUUAUAUUAUGAGCAUAUGUAUCUUAACUUUACCUUGUUGGCCGAGGCACUUUGCCAUCCUCAGCUGACUGAUAACAUCCCGACCACAGUUCUAGUCGUGCCUCAAUCGCCUCACAUGUGAUUUUCUAACAUGUGUGAUCAAGCCGAGCCAUGCUUAGUGCUUGAUAAAAUGGAUUGAUCACAAAAUCAAUAUCUGUGAAUCCCUUCAUGGAUAUUUUCUCAAAUUUCUAUCAUUUUUCUUAGACUUGGAUUCCCUGGCUAACCACGAGUUAAUUGUGAUGUUAUUUGACAUCCAUCCUCGUCUUGUGUGCUAGGAAUUUCCAAUGACCACUUGUUGGUAAGCCUCUUUCUGUGUGUUUUACCCAAGAGGUUGCAUCCACUUAAUUUGGUAAUCAAUAUCUAUCUAUUCGCUAUUCGUUCAACAGACUCAUGUUACUAGAAAAAGCAAACUACACACAUGGAACCUUAUAUGGGUAAGGCGAUACAUGUUAUAAAUAACAUCCUCAGAUACUCGCCUCCGUUUGGAGCUACCUUAUGCUAUCGCUAUUAUGGAAAAGUUUAUACGCCUCUCUACUCUUAGAAGUCUUUCGUUCUGAAUCUCGGGACGAGAUUCUUUUAAGGGGGAAGGCUGUAACACCCCAGGUGUUUAUCGUCUACUCGACCACGAGUGACGUUAACACGUGAUAGCUGUGAAAAUAAAAUGGACACUAAAUUUUAAUCAUCUUCAUCUAUCACGAUUUGGUAUCGUGUCUGUCUCCAUCUGUUUAAAUUGUUCUAAUUUAGUUUGCAAAAAUUCAAACUUUAGUAAUCUUCCGAAACAUCAGAUCCAAUAUCGUUUGGGUUGAGUCAUCGACGUCUUGCCCAAACUCUAACCUUUGAAAUCGGAUCUGGUUCUGUAGAAUCCAUUUUUAAUUCCCUCGCGCCUGCGUCGUGCGCGUCCCUCUGCGGCCUGGCAUUGUGACGUGUGGCGAGCGUUAACCGGUGUCUGGACACCGCACAACCUCUCGCCCACGUAAACGAUGCGUGCCAUCGCUUCCGAAAGGAUCACACUUUUUAUGUCACAUCGAUCUCUCGUAUUUAUUUCGCUAAAUAUCGAGUCUUGUGUCUGUUUAAAAAUUUAUAAAUUACGAGAACAUGAAUUUGGAAUCCCGACCCACUCUUGUGAUUGUUGUCCUAAGUAAAUAUUAUUAGAACUUGACGACAACAAUCUUGACGCAAAAUUAAAUCGGAUCGAGAUAAAUAGAACCGAACUGAGUAUUCGUAAUUAAUCUGUUUCACUGUCUACAACCGUGGAAAUUUGUCUGGUCCGGAAAAUACCUCCCAUUGUAAGCGCAGUCCAAAAACAUCAAAAUUUAUAUCAUUUUGAUUGGUCUGUUUGUAUCUCGUUCGGAUUCAAAUUCUAGAACUAAAUUAUCUAUGUGUUCUUUUGUGAAAAGUUGGAGGAGGAAAAAUCUAUACUAUCUCAGCCAUAUCCAAAUCGUCAUUUAUCAAAUGUCCAUCUCCCUCACGUAUCUAUCUUAUCCUCUCCACUUUCCCUGGCUUGUUCUAGACGUCGCUAUUUCUAGAUUGGUCUCCUGGCGCUUGGACGCAUGGCAGCCUCCUGCUUCUCUUCCCAUGCCGUGACAGCAUCCAGUACAGCCACCGGUGACAGAGCUGCUCGCCCAGCGACAGCCCCUCCCUGGCGAUCGCCCCCGCCCCCAGCCAUGGACACCGUCGGCCUCGACUUCCUCUGGCUGCGGCAUCCGUCCUGCUCCCCGCUCCAUCCCUUGCUCCUCUCCAUAGACGCCCAGACCGAUGCCUAGCUCUCCCAUGGCCGCCCUGGAUCUCCAUGGUCGAGUUUUUCCCCUGCAGGAUCCCCCCCAAUGGCGCCUGGUCUUUUUCCCUUGGUUGAAAACACCUCUGCACUUAACCCCCUCUGUUGAUGGUCGACGUCUCUCCAUCCAUGGUACCUAGGUCUCCAUCCCCAUGCCCCUGCAGCUUGUUCUCAAGCAGCCAACCAUGGUGCGUCGUCCGCCUCGGUGAGGACUUGUCAUUUCUUUUGCGAGUAUUCCUCGCUGAUACUUGUAUCUAGAUGAUGUAUUUUGCGUGUUUGUGUAUGUGGCUUGGAGGAGAAACUUUCCGGUGUUGGAGGGCGAAGAGCUCGAAGUUCUAAAGGUAACGCCCGCCGGGUGCUUGGUGGAACGUCUCAACCGGAGGUUGUUGUCGAUCUCUCGGGUUCGAGGCGAUUUAGUUGUGGUAAGCUAUUUCGCCACUCAUAUUGUUUAAUUUAAUGUUUGGCUUCGAUGGGGAUUGUAGUCAUGAUGAUUUUAUCGUCUUUAGCGCAGGCGGGUUGUGGUGGAAUGCUCGACAGAUCCGUUGUUAGGCAUAUGUGUAUGCAUAGUGUGCUUAAAUUGAUUCUUUGUUUGCAUGAUGUGAGAGUAGGUUUAAAAUACUAGGUUAUGUGAAGUGCAUGGAUUCAUGGUUAUAAAGUAGAAUUAAUCCAUAUGUGUGAUUAGAAAGUGCCAAGCACAUGAUAAUUAUAGGAGCAAAUUAAAUGUUUGCUGUUUGGACUUGCUGUUUGAGCUGUGUCCAGUUUUAGUAUGCAGGUAGUUGAGUGAAGUAAACCUUAUUUUCUGUGAAAGUGUUAUAUAUAAAAGUUGUAGCUCACUUCUUUAUCUUGCUUGUGUAGAAAUUUCAUGACCAUAGACUUAGCAGUUUAGAAGUUAUGAUUUUCCCAAGUCCAGUUUCAGAAUCUGUCUAAAUUCUGUACAGGUUUCGAAAAUUGGAAUGUUUGGCUAAGCUAAACUGAGAAUCAGCUCUUAGUAAUUAUAGGAGAAUUAUAGUACUUUUCUUAAGCUUUCCAACAAAUUUUGGAGCAUCCUUUUUGGUGGUCUAGAAGUCAAGUUAUGGCUGUUUGAAAUAUGAAGUCUGAAUCUGUUCAAAUCUGGACAAAAGAGACUGUUUGUGUUAACUGACCUUUCUACGCAUUGAAUUAACUGGAGAUGAUUAUAAAUGAGUUGUAGACAAUUUUAUUAGCUUUCUAAAAAGUCUAGGAUCACAUGUUUUGGAUGUCUAAAUCUCCAGUUAUGGAUUUUUGAAGUGAGUAGUCGAAUUCUGUCCAAAUCUGGACAGAAUUUACGUUUAGCACUGAUUGACCUUUCAAAAUUCCGAAUCAUGUUAUGCUGACAAUACAAAAGUUAUAGGGGAUUUCAUAAGCUUUCUAGAAAGUUUUAGUUCACUAUUGUUGGAUGAAUAUUUGGUGAGUUAUGAGCAAAACAAUUGACUACAGUACGGUUGUCCAGAAAUUCUGAAAAUGUUGAAUGCUUAACUUUACUCUUGUUUGGCUAAGUAAGUUUAGUUGAUUCUUAAUUGCUGAAGUGAUGGCUUGUGUAGUAAUUGUCAUAUUCUAUUUUUGUUGAUUGAUUAAAUGUCAUAAAUCAAAAUUGAGCGUUUAAGCUAAUCGCCUUGAAUAAAUGUUCAUCGUUAUUUUAGUCAGUUGGAAGCAAAUAUCAUCGUUGUUCCACUUCAGCAAAAGUUAUGAAAAUUUCAUAGUGAGCAUUUCACGUUAGUAAGUCUGUAGAUUUUAAAUUGUGAUGUUUGCUCCGGCUACCUAAGAAAAGUGUGAUUCUUAUACUUAGUAAUUUAUAGAUACCUAGUAUAUGCUUGCUUUUAAAUGUUUACAUUUGUCUUGCCAUAAGUAUUGCAAUCUAUCGAGGUUACGUCUUAGAUGAAUAUUUGUGUUGAGUUAUUGUGUUUGAUGGUUGAGCUGAGAAUAAGUAACUUCAAGUCUGUGAUUGUUGUAGAGUCAAAGUUAACUAGUGUUUGCUCAUAGGAAUUGUAGCGCUCUGCCAGAAGUGUUUUGCCCUCUUCAGUGUAGUUUACCUAUCCUGUGUCAUUUAUGACUAUUCUUAUUCAUAUACAUUUCGCAUUCCAUUAGGUACGUUAAUUAAUCACGUGAUGUGGAGGGCAAGAGUUGGAUUAAUCUCAAGUGAAGAUGAUGAAUGAACCUGAAGCUUGGAUGAUCUGAUCAAGUACCAGGAUCGGAUGAGAGAUGCUCCCCAAGCGGACGUCAUCUAACAACACUGACUUAGUGUUAUCCCAGGCAAGCCCCGGUGCAUUUGCCACCUCCUUGUUGUUUUAAAACUUUUAUCACUUAUAUGCUGCAUUAGGUGAUAGGAGUUGAGUGAUGAAACAGUUGAUGCAUUGCCAUUCCUUGGAAUUUGAUUAUCCUCCUUGAUACCUGUUUUACAAAAAGAACUAAUGAGGCAUAGCCUUGCCUAGAGAAUUAAAACAUGUUUCUUUUUAAAAGAAUGAUGUGUGACACUGGGUAUGGGUUUGUUUUAUGAAAAAGGACUUGUAAUGGUGAGCGCAUCAUCUGCAGUGAUGAAUUCAUCAUUCAAGUAUGGUACCUCUGUCAGGUACAUGGUUUGGGUGUUAAAUAAUAAGAUGAGACCAGACGUUGAGCAGGAAAGGUCGCCCGUCUGUGUCGCUUAAGGACCGUUCCGAUUGUUGGCCUGCUGAUCUAGGACCCUUUAACUGGCCACAUGCCUCAUCAUGGGUAAGCUUAGCCUCGGUCGGACCAAUACCAGAACAGCUCGCACGCACUGGGAGUGGAGAGAUGGCGAGAGUAGCUUGUACCCUCUGUGGCAAGAGACUGGAAGGUGGGGUGCUGUACUCUCGGAAACAUGGCGGGCACCAUGGCGAGAGUAACGUGUACCAACCAGGCCAAUGGCUGGACGGUGGGGUGCUGUACUCUCUGAAACAUGGCGGGCACCAUGGCGAGAGUAAUGUGUACCAACCAGGCCAACGGCUGGACGGUGGAGUGCUGUGCUCUCGGGUCGCGUGAACCCGUUCUGGUCUUGAGAAACCCGGUGGCGAGUUGACAUAUGCAAGGGUUAAGUGCUACAUAUGUCGUGUGGUUGGAGAUCCCCAGCUGGGUAUUAAUCGAUUCGGAUCGCCGAACUUCUCGGAUAUGAAGACUGGAUCUUCGACCUUCAGCGUAGAUAACAAGUGAAACUAAAGCUGAUAAAAUGAAGCUAGUGUAGGACAAGUGAAUGCUCUAGAUUAGGCAAAUCUAGAUUCAGGAAAAGUACUUAAUCUGUGAAGUAAAAGUUUGGCAUAAGGAUCCACUACUAGUAAGCUUUUCUGCAAAAACGAGUCUUUGAAAUUUGAUGAGCUUUACCUUGAUUCCCAACAAACCAGCAUACCCUUGAGAGUCUUUUCUUUAGUCGGGUAAGUCUUGCUGAGUAAUUGCGUACUCAGGGCUUUAUUCCCUGUUGUUUUUCAGGUUAUAAGUUUGUUCUGUUGUGGAUGGUGCUAAGUGCCGGUGGGCUCGGCCUUCUUAUAUAAGUAUAUCCCAUCUUUAGCUUCUUUAUUGAGGAUUGUCACUUAAGCUAGCAUGUAUCUUCAUAUUUACAAAUAUUUUAUAACAUUUCAAAUUUGUAAUUCUUUUGAAUAAUUUUCUCUUGUAAUCACUCUGAUAAUUGAAUAAUGUAAAAUUAUUGUAACAUGUAAUCAUUUUGUAAUAAAGAAUUUAUUUCCGCUGCAAGUGUUUGUAUGUGAGUUGUGUUUACUUAAUCCUGCGAUCUUGGCGGUAAGUCGUUUAUCCGGGGUCCUCGGGGCACUCGGACAGAUCCUGCUAAGUUGUUUGGUGCACAUGCAUAGCCGUCUUAGGUCGUUGAAACAAGGACAGGUGCAUGUGGGCCCGAUAACUUGGGAGGUUCUGCGACAUCCGAUGUCUCUCCCUAACAUCUAUGUUCGUGAGUCUUGCUCAGUAAGCGCUAUCUUUGUCAGGAUAUCCCUACCACGACUCCAAGGAAGACGAGGACUACGCGCGUGACGGAGAGCGAGGACGACUGCAAAGCCUCUCAACGUGCUGCCAGGUCCAGUGGAGUUCAGGUAACCACUGAAAUCAGCACCUUCUUUCACUGCAACUCUAAUGUUCAGUGUCUAUUGCAUCUCUUUUCAUUAUAGUUCUAUGGACUGCAUGAUUUAUGGUAAACCCUAGUUACAUACUAAUAUAAAAUAAUGGUCUUUCAAUGGGGGAAAAGAGCCGUAGAGGAAUGGAUUUGUCUUCUGUGUCUUGCCUAAUUUCAUACCAAAGCCUUUACCAGGUGCAGUAGCUGCUGUAGAUGGACGACCUGUAGAAGUAUUGCUUGCAGCUAGAUUCAAAUAUGAAUCAUAUGCUAACCCUGUACUGUUUCUACUUUCUACAUUUGAUUGGCAAUAAGUAAUGUAGUCCUGUUGUCAUACAAAUCAUGAAGUUACAGUCACUUAUUGAUAAGGCGAUUGAACUAUGGGGUUUUAGCAGGGAGUUUGAAGUUCUAUUUGGUGCCAAGCUCCUAAACUGAGAAGGCAUAACAGGCACACACGUAACUGUUAUUUCUGUCCUCCAAGCUUAGAUGUUCUAAGCUGUCCAUGGUUAGGAUAAACCAAUAUGUAAGCUCAUAACCUGUGUUUGGGUUGGGAUAGAAAUUGGAUCACUUCCAAAUUAGUUCCUCCAAACAUCCAACAACCUAGCAUGGUCUAUUUUUUGGAUCUCUGUACAUACAUUGGAUCCAUUAUGUUUUCUUGUUCCAAAUUUCCUCGAAUUAAUUAUGUGGAUAUUUUAUUCUGGUUGAUAAUGCAGUUCAUGUGCAUGUUAGCAUAUAGUUCUCUGUGGGUCUUAUUAUUUAGUUGGCAUUAUGUUUUUUGGAUCUCUGUACACACAUUUAGAUCAGUAGUAUUUUGAGAAAUCUUAUUUACAUUGUACUAAAUAUAAUGUCUGAUAAAAUACAUUGGUAGUACAUGAUGUUAGUUUAGUGUCACUUUUCAGAGUCAAGUUCAGUCAUCUACCUCUGUUAAACUAUCUGGAUUUCACAAGAGAGUUAUAGCCAAUUCAAGCUACGCAGAGAUUCCUGUACUGCUGGACACAUAGGUAAUCUAUUUUUAUACCUUGCCAUUGCCAUUGCAAUAAUUUUUCUAUACAGCUUACCUGCCAUAAUUUAUCUCUUAUAUAAGAAAUGCUUUUUUUGCGACUAGAGUAUCUUCUUUCAUCUAAACAAACCAUUCAUCAUAACAUAAAUUUGCACUAUAAGUUAUUGAUAAUCUGGUGUGUUUUUUAUGCAUGCCUCUGAGAGGCAUCAUCUUUUAAGAAUACAAGAAAUACUCUUUAUUUGUGAAAUUAUUGUUUUGCUUAUUUUUGCCACUUUAAUGUCAAGAAGGUCUGUCCUACGCCUAGCUCCACGUGCUGUUGUAUUAUAUGCAUACAAUGAAAACAAAAUAAUAAGAAAUAUCUAGAAGAUGUCCUCAUAUGGUUUAUUAAUUCGUCUUUAUUGAAUAUUUGAAUGUCUUGUUCUACUACCAAAGUUUGAACAUGUCUUGUUAUGUCAUGAUUCAUUACCAACUUGUAAAAUUGUAAUUUGACAUAAUCUUUGCUUAGUGCAUGUUCAUUAUUUUUUUACUAUUAAUCAGUAAAUGGUAGAUAAUUAAGCACAUGCAUUGUGUUGAAGACAAAUUUAAAAUUCAAAUUCAAAUUAAUAUAUGGACAUAAGUUAAGUAAUGUAAUGUCAAACUUGUGUGUAUUGGGGUAUUUAUUGGGGUAUAAAGUUUAUAUACAUGCAUGCUUCCGGUAUAUAGAGGUUGAUGCUAAUUUUUUAGAUAAAAUGAUAGUUGAAAGGAUGAGCUGGUAGUAUGCUUUUUGUACAGUGUACUUGCACCUGUCCAAAAUUUUCUCUCACCCGCUUCUCUUCAUGCUUCUUUCUGGGUCUACAAUUCAACAUAAAGAGAAACACCCUUAAGUGAGAGUACUUGUUAUAGUUCAGUCUCUUUUUCCGACGCUCCUUUUAGUGCUUUCCUUUGAGUUUCAUUCCUGCUCGUUCAACCACACAAGAUGAGUAAACUAUGGAACAUCUCAUGUUCAUGAAAAUGAUCUCUACCAAUACCUUCCGCUUCAACGUCACCAUCCAGAAUUGUAAUCUUUGAAUCAUUGCUUCAUUUGCUUGUCACAUCCACCCAUGAUCUUGAACACAUACUCCUUGACCUCCCACAACAAAUUAACAUGGCAAAUCUAUAUUUUACAUAAGAAAUCAGCAACCUGCUCAUUAAUAAGAAAAUCUUGUAAUUUCAUUAUGAUGUAGGAAAACCUAUUUGUUUGCUGCUAAAUUCUGAGACCUUUAAAUUGAUAAAGGGACUUUGUUUGCUGCUAAGUUCUGUGAUUUAUUUAUUUACCUAUUUCUCAUUAUAUUCAGUCAUAUUAAUAAAAUACAACGAUAUAUUUCAAAUUCCUCUUGACCUAAAAUGUUUCGACUUAUACUCGAUUUUUAUGCUUAUUAAUAAAUUAUAUAUUAUAACAAUAGGAUGCUUGGAAACCUCGGACCACAACACCGUUCAUUUCAACCCAGAUCAUCACACUACAUACCACUUGAAGAGUGAGUGGUUCUUAUAAUAUAGUUAUAAAUUAUAGCUAAAAUUAAGGUGAUAAUAAUUUAAAAUGAACAUGUUCUUACAAAUCAUGUUCUAAAUUGCAGCUAUUCGACGUUCGUUGAUUCAAAUUCCAAGGCGUCGUUUCAUCGACAGAUUUCUUGAGAACAGACGGGCACAUUUCGCAACUGUGAUAUCGGAUUGAGACAUGUGUUCUAGCUUGUUAUAGUAGAUACUUUGUUAGUUAUGUAUUAGAUGAAACUUAGGAAUAAUGAUUUGUGCUCUAUUUGUAUUAGUCGUGUGUCUGGUCUUAAUGGUGACUGCUUUGUAUAAAACUAUGUGACAUCUCUGUGAGCUAAUAAAUAAGUUCACCAUCAUUAGUUUUCUUACCAGUGUUACCAAUUACUUCCUUUGCGGUGGUGUGUUCUAUUGGAUUCUUGUCACGAGGUCAAACAGAAGCCUUCUCUCUGGCUUUGCCCAUGUUGCGAUUUUAUUGCAUUUCCUUGCAUGCCGAUCAAAGACAUGAGGGCCAACAGUGUACCAUGACUUGCAAAUGAGCUCCAGUCAGCAACUAUGAUACUAGCUUAUAGAAUUACCUCACGCUCUCGAAUAUAAAUAAUUAUUGGAUGUCGACACAUUGUAGACAAAACCUGAAUGGAAAAAUGUUAUGUUAUAUACAAAUAAUACCUACAAUAUAAACGCAUAAUGCAAAUAAUAAUACCUUAAGAAUGAUGCCUGAGCUUGUCUAUUGUCCAUGGAUAUAAACAGGUAAAUAAACGAUGAUUGCACAUAUUUAGCACCAGGAAUUCUGAAUACCCACCCUAGAAACCAGGUCUCCUAAUCUUUUUGCAGUAGCUAAAGAAUAUGAAUAGGUACAUAUUUCAUGCACUACCUGAUGUGCACUUCUAUAAUUUAGAGCAUUUGAAGAUUCUAAUCCUUAAAUAGAGUCAGUU
rnacentral:lncRNA from 1 species